GCUCAGUUGGCAAAAGCACAAGGCUCUUAACCUUGUGGACAUGGGUUCAAGCCCCAU
rfam:Triticum aestivum genome assembly, contig: Triticum_aestivum_CS42_TGACv1_scaffold_307388_4AS